rnacentral:misc_RNA from 1 species
GCUUAGAUUGUCGGAAGCGCUCGUACAAACAAGUGUAUACACCUACGGUGUUUCAGCAUCCACUUUCUCAGUCAAAUUUAAAAUUCAAAGGUACAUAAGGAUUCAACGAAUGGCAGGAAGUGCAGACCAUGCAUGCAUACGGCCCAAUUGUUCUGCCUAGUUUAUUGACCCACACCCACCAACAAAUAGACGGCACGAGCAAACAAUUUCACACCACGCACAACGACGGCUGCUACAUGACUCGAUCGAACUACGCAUCCAGGCUUCUAAGCAACGGUAUCCAUCUGGCUGCCCGCGACGUCGACGACGAAGCGGUACCUGACAUCGUUCUUCUCCAGCCGCUCGAUGGCGGUGUUGACGUAGUCCAUCGGCACGACCUCGGUGUCAGCGGUGACGCCAUGCUCCGCCGCGAAGUCCAGCAUCGCCUGGCAGUCCGCGACACUCCCGACGCCGUUCCCGGCCACCCGCUUCCCGCCCGUGAUGAUGGCGUACGCCGGCAGCUCCAGCGGCGUGCUCGGCGCGCCGACCACCACCAUCUGCCCCAUGGGCUUCAGCAGCGCCAGCAGCGGC